GGGUCGAUGGCGUAGUUGGUUAUCGCAUCUGUCUAACAUGUAGAGUUAUCCGACCCUUGCACACAGAAGGUCCUCAGUUCGAACCUGGGUCGACUCA
rnacentral:tRNA from 1 species